UGGGGAAUUUUGGACAAUGGGCGCAAGCCUGAUCCAGCAAUGCCGCGUGAGUGAAGAAGGCCUUCGGGUUGUAAAGCUCUUUUGUCAGGGAAGAAACGGUCGGGGCUAAUAUCCUCGGCUAAUGACGGUACCUGAAGAAUAAGCACCGGCUAACUACGUGCCAGCAGCCGCGGUAAUACGUAGGGUGCAAGCGUUAAUCGGAAUUACUGGGCGUAAAGCGUGCGCAGGCGGUUUUGUAAGUCUGACGUGAAAUCCCCGGGCUCAACCUGGGAAUUGCGUUGGAGACUGCAAGGCUGGAGUCUGGCAGAGGGGGGUAGAAUUCCACGUGUAGCAGUGAAAUGCGUAGAGAUGUGGAGGAACACCGAUGGCGAAGGCAGCCCCCUGGGUCAAGACUGACGCUCAUGCACGAAAGCGUGGGGAGCAAACA
rnacentral:rRNA from 1 species